UUUUAUUGGAAUUUUAUCUGAGAGAAUUCUUGGAGGCCUGGAUUGAGUUUGCAUUCUUCCAGAGAGAAUUAAUGUUUCCAGACUGAGGGCAGUCCACUAGGGGCUUAAAACAAGGGACUACAUUUAUUGACAUCAUCAGCUUGCAUCUCAGCAAACACAGUAAACCCGUGUGGAGUUGUGCCACUUUCUGAAACAGUUCUGGAGAUCCUCUUACAUGAGUGUUCUUACAAGGAUCUGGCACCAUGUGACUUCUGGCUCCCCCCAAAGUCAAAAGAUAAAUGUUUUGAACUGAUUCAGGAUAUCAAUGCUGCCGCAACAGUACAACCAAGAUUUAGAAAUUUAAACUUCCAUUUGUUUUUUAAAAAUUGCACCUUGUAUUUUCAGAAACUCCACACUCUCUUCUCUUUGCUCACUAUAAGCAGACUCACAAAGAUCAAUUAUUUUAGGGAACCCUUCUUCUUGACCCGAGUUCAAGUAUUCUCUUUCAGGAGAGCCGUGUCCAUUAACCUGUACUCCUACAAGGAAGGGAGUUCAUUCUCCCAGGUACACUUGAGGAAAUGUGGAAACACAGCAGAGCUUGUCAAUGAGGCCAAAGGAAUUCCUUUUCCUCUUUUUUGUUCAUAGAAUGGCAGUCCGGAGUCAUAGAAAUAGUCAGGCCUUAGAACUAGACAGAUUUAUACUUGAAUUUUGUUUUUGGAAUGAGUGAUCCAACUGUCUGGGCUUUCCAUUGGAUAUCUGUAAAGUGUAAAGAACAAUCCCAACCUAAAGGGCCAUUGUGGGUGUUGCCUAUCGUUAAUAGCAUUCAUAUUUAUUAUACAGGUAAAAGGUUGGGAAUAAAACAG
rnacentral:lncRNA from 1 species